AAAGUGGGGACAACACUGCGAAAGUGGUGCUAAUACCGAAUGUUGUAUUUUGAAUGCAUAUUUGAAAUACUAAAGGUGGCCUCUAUUUAUAAGCUAUCACUAGAAGAUGGGUCUGCGUCUGAUUAGCUAGUUGGUGAGGUAACGGCUCACCAAGGCGACGAUCAGUAGCCGGUCUGAGAGGAUGAACGGCCACACUGGGACUGAGACACGGCCCAGACUCCUACGGGAGGCAGCAGUGGGGAAUCUUCCGCAAUGGACGAAAGUCUGACGGAGCAACGCCGCGUGAGUGAAGAAGGUUUUCGGAUCGUAAAACUCUGUUUUCAGGGACGAAUGUGUGGAUUGUAAAUAAUGAUCCAUAAUGACGGUACCUGACAAGAAAGCCACGGCUAACUACGUGCCAGCAGCCGCGGUAAUACGUAGGUGGCAAGCGUUGUCCGGAAUUAUUGGGCGUAAAGCGCGCGCAGGUGGGAUAAUCAGUCUGAUGUUAAAGUUCGGGGCUUAACCCCGUGAAGCAUUGGAUACUGUUAUUCUUGAGUGCAGGAGAGGAAAGUGGAAUUCCUAGUGUAGCGGUGAAAUGCGUAGAUAUUAGGAGGAACACCAGUG
rnacentral:rRNA from 1 species